UACAGAGGUCUCAAGCGUUGUUCGGAAUUACUGGGCGUAAAGGGUGCGCAGGCCGCGCGGGCAGUCAAAUGUGUAAUUCAGGGGCUCAACCCCUGCACUGCGCUUGAUACUUCCGCGCUCGAACCUUGGAGAGGAGUCUGGAAUUCUCGGUGUAGCAGUGAAAUGCGUGGAUAUCGAGAAGAACACUUAGGGCGAAAGCAAGACUCUGGACAAGUGUUGACGCUCAUGCACGAAGGCUAGGGUAGCGAACGGG
rnacentral:rRNA from 1 species